rnacentral:rRNA from 1 species
GACGAACGCUGGCGGCGUGCUUAACACAUGCAAGUCGAACGGAAAGGCCCUGCUUUUGUGGGGUGCUCGAGUGGCGAACGGGUGAGUAACACGUGAGUAACCUGCCCUUGACUUUGGGAUAACUUCAGGAAACUGGGGCUAAUACCGGAUAGGAGCUCCUGCUGCAUGGUGGGGGUUGGAAAGUUUCGGCGGUUGGGGAUGGACUCGCGGCUUAUCAGCUUGUUGGUGGGGUAGUGGCUUACCAAGGCUUUGACGGGUAGCCGGCCUGAGAGGGUGACCGGCCACAUUGGGCCUGAGAUACGGCCCAGAGUCCUACGGGAGGCAGCAGUGGGGAAUAUUGCACAAUGGGCGGAAGCCUGAUGCAGCAACGCCGCGUGCGGGAUGACGGCCUUCGGGUUGUAAACCGCUUUCGCCUGUGACGCAGCGUGAGUGACGGUAAUGGGUAAAGAAGCACCGGCUAACUACGUG